rnacentral:tRNA from 1 species
UCCCUGCUGGCUCAGUGGUAAAGAAUUUGCCUGCAAUGCAGGAGACCCAGCUUCCAUCCCUGGGUGGGGAA